AGCAAGCCAGAUGCCGAAGAACAGAGAGCGUCCGACUUCAUUUGUGUCAAGUUCCAGGACCAGAAAAGUCAGUGACAGAAAUCAUAUCACCGGGGCUAGGGACCGAGUGCGAGGGGACAGGCGGGUAUGGGGGGCAGUUGGCUACACCUGCAAACAUCAACAUUAUAGGUAAGAAUAUCCAUCAUUGUGUACACCAACUUUAACUCAUUGAACCAUAUGCUUGAAACAGGUGGAUUUUAUGGAAUGCGAAUUAUUCCUCAGGAAAAGCCGUAAAGAAAAAAAGGGGGGGUGGAGGAACACAGGAAGCGAGUGUGGAGUAAAGAGUGGGGAAGAAGAGUCAUGCUCUCAUCCGCAGUCCGUGUGAUUUGACCCCUGUGCUCCAGUCAACCUUGCGGGCCAGGCUGGCUGGGAAGAUGGGUUGCCAUGGUGACAGCAUCUGGUCCACUGGGGCAGAAAGGCGUGUGAGCCAGUCACUGCGGAGCCAUGCGAUGACGCAGUUUCAGGGCAUCCCAGAUUCCUCCGGCAUGUGGAGAAGGGAGUCGGCGGCCCUUCCUGGAGAGGAGAGCCUCCCGUGACGUGUGGGGGGAGACGGCGAGCCUCCUUGAGCUGAGACAGAGGGGGUCUCAGUGGGAGUCCAUGCUCGGCUCUGCUCCCUGGACACACUCCUGAUUCUGCACACCCACCAAAGCGUCAGGGACCAUCUCUGGAGGGUCUGGGCCUCACAGCUCCCUUACAUGCUGGAAAGGAAUGAAAAUGCUUCCCGCGAGCCUACUGCACAACUAACUGCCAUCGCAGCCUCCAUCCGCCCACGGAAGAGAGUCCCUUACCCCUGGUUUGGGUUUGACAGAGCCCAUAGGAGAGGGGGUGGGAGGGAGGUGAGAGCCGGCAGGACCGGGCUGCAGGAAGUGGGCUGGGCAGACCAGGGUGGGAUUGCGACAGCCUCCUGGCCUUCUGCCCUGCCCGGCCCUGUACCUGCCACCUGGACUACAUGGGACUCAUCCAUGUGAGGCUGCCCAGCGCCUGGUCACUCCUGCAGCCACUUGGGCACCCCGUCAUCCCAGGACAAAGCCAAGCAUGUGCUGCCCCGCCUUCCAGAUCCCUGCUUCCCGGCCACUGCUGCCCUAGAGCGCCUUUCCAGGCCCGGCCUCAGCUGGCUUCUGGCCACGCCUGUCGUCCGAUGUCUCAGCAUCCAGCUUCCAUUCCCACACCAGUAGCUGACUCUGACUCUCAUCACAGAAGUCCCUUCUGGGUGACCAGCACACCCCUGGUCCCCUGAACUGAGGGAACCCCUGCCCGGUGGCCCGACACCUUGUACCAUCUGUGCGGGGGCCCACAAGUCUUGUCUGGGACGCCCCUGCCCCUCCCAGGCAAAGCCAGCACCAGCCCUGCCACUUGGCGGUUCUGCCUAUGAUGUGCCCGCCGGGGCUCUGUGGCUCUGAGGACACGGUGGUGGCUUGUUGGAGCCACUGACCCAUAGAAGUUGCUCUGAAAAAGAACGGAGGUGGGGGGCAAGAGAUAAAGAAAGCAGGGAAGGGGGAGAGGGAGGGAAGAGGAGUGAGUCCAAGUCAGUGAACAGAAAGAGAUUA